rnacentral:rRNA from 1 species
GAUGAACGCUGGCGGCGUGCCUAAUACAUGCAAGUCGAGCGAACAGACGAGGAGCUUGCUCCUCUGACGUUAGCGGCGGACGGGUGAGUAAAACGUGGAUAACCUACCUAUAAGACUGGGAUAACUUCGGGAAACCGGAGCUAAUACCGGAUAAUAUAUUGAACCGCAUGGUUCAAUAGUGAAAGACGGUUUUGCUUUCACUUAUAGAUUGAUCCGCGCCGCAUUAGCUAGUUGGUAAGGUAACGGCUUACCAAGGCAACGAUGCGUAGCCGACCUGAGAGGGUGAUCGGCCACACUGGAACUGAGACACGGUCCAGACUCCUACGGGAGGCAGCAGUAGGGAAUCUUCCGCAAUGGGCGAAAGCCUGACGGAGCAACGCCGCGUGAGUGAUGAAGGUCUUCGGAUCGUAAAACUCUGUUAUUAGGGAAGAACAAAUGUGUAAGUAACUAUGCACGUCUUGACGGUACCUAAUCAGAAAGCCACGGCUAACUACGUG